rnacentral:rRNA from 1 species
GGUGGAUGAGUGGCGAACGGGUGAGUAAUACGUGAGUAACCUGCCCUUGACUCUGGGAUAAGCCUGGGAAACUGGGUCUAAUACUGGAUACGACAUGUCACCGCAUGGUGGCGUGUGGAAAGGGUUUUACUGGUUUUGGAUGGGCUCACGGCCUAUCAGCUUGUUGGUGGGGUAAUGGCUCACCAAGGCGACGACGGGUAGCCGGCCUGAGAGGGUGACCGGCCACACUGGGACUGAGACACGGCCCAGACUCCUACGGGAGGCAGCAGUGGGGAAUAUUGCACAAUGGGCGAAAGCCUGAUGCAGCGACGCCGCGUGAGGGAUGACGGCCUUCGGGUUGUAAACCUCUUUCAGCACGGAAGAAGCGAAAGUGACGGUACGUGCAGAAGAAGCGCCGGCUAACUACGUGCCAGCAGCCGCGGUAAUACGUAGGGCGCAAGCGUUGUCCGGAAUUAUUGGGCGUAAAGAGCUCGUAGGCGGUUUGUCGCGUCUGCUGUGAAAGCCCGGGGCUUAACCCCGGGUGUG